AUCACCUGGGAUCUUGUUAAAAUGCAGAUUCUUGUUCAGAAGCCUGAGAUCCUGCAUUUCUAACAAGCUUCCAGGUGCUAAUGA
rnacentral:pre_miRNA from 1 species